GAGCCAGAGCUGAUUUCUGAAAAUCCAGCCUCCUCCACCCCACGGCCCCGAUCUCCCAGCUGAUAGCAGGAGAGACAGAUAGGCCAGGAACGAGGAUCCUCAGUCAAUAGGAUGUCAAGGAGGAGAAACCGGCUUUUGGAGGGCAGGGGAGAGACACGGUUGCGGCCGUACAUCUUGCUGGAAUACGCACACGCGGAUUAACACAAAUUCCUAUUUUCAUGCCUCAAAACG